rnacentral:rRNA from 1 species
GGCUUAACACAUGCAAGUCGAGGGGCAUCAGGAAGAAAGCUUGCUUUCUUUGCUGGCGACCGGCGCACGGGUGAGUAACACGUAUCCAACCUGCCCUUUACUCGGGGAUAGCCUUUCGAAAGAAAGAUUAAUACCCGAUAGCAUAAUGAUUCCGCAUGGUUUCAUUAUUAAAGGAUUCCGGUAAAGGAUGGGGAUGCGUUCCAUUAGGUUGUUGGUGGGGUAACGGCUCACCAAGCCUUCGAUGGAUAGGGGUUCUGAGAGGAAGGUCCCCCACAUUGGAACUGAGACACGGUCCAAACUCCUACGGGAGGCAGCAGUGAGGAAUAUUGGUCAAUGGGCGGUAGCCUGAACCAGCCAAGUAGCGUGAAGGAUGAAGGCUCUAUGGGUCGUAAACUUCUUUUAUAUAAAAAUAAAGUGCAGUAUGUAUACUGUUUUGUAUGUAUUAUAUGAAUAAGGAUCGGCUAACUCCGUGCCAGCAGCCGCGGU